CCCCCGCCAGAGCACUACGAGCUACAGCUUAAAACUCAAAGGACUUGGCGGUGCCCUACACCCACCUAGAGGAGCCUGUUCUAUAAUUGAUAAUCCCCAAUAAACCUCACCGCCUUUUGCAAAUACAGCCUAUAUACCACCGUCACAAGCCCACCCCAUCAAAGGAGUAAUAGUAGGCUAAAUAAUUAAAAAUAAAAAAGUCAGGUCAAGGUGUAGCAUAUAAGUCGGAAAGAAAUGGGCUACAUUUUCUUCAAAGAAAACACGGAAAACCUUCAUGAAAUAUGGUUUGAAGGAGGAUUUAGCAGUAAAAAGAGAGUAGAGAGCUCUUUUAAAAUUGGCAAUAGGACGAGCACACACCGCCCGUCACCCUCUUUAAAAAAAUCAAACUUUAGAAGAGGAAAGUCGUAACAUGGUAAGUCUACCGGAAGGUGGCCUUGGAA
rnacentral:rRNA from 1 species